GUGCUUGCUGCAGCAGCACAUCCACUAAAGUUGGAACAAUACAGAAAAGGUUACUGUGGCCCCUUGCAAGGAUAACAUGAAAAUUGGUGAAGCAGUCCAUAAAAUA
ensembl:snRNA U6 U6 spliceosomal RNA